AGAAUAACAGUCCGUCAUUCCUACUUUCGAACCCUUGAGUCUUCAACUUCUCCAGAUAAGUUAAUUGAAGCAGAUUCUUAGAAUAUGAGGAAAAUCAUUUUGUGCUACCACCAUAGACCUCCGUGCUGUUUCUUUUUAAAAUUUGUAGAAGCGGAAGUUGUUAGCUUGUUUUCUUGGUCAACAGAUUAAUCUGCCUCCCCCGUGGGUCUCUGCUGUUUUUCCAUUCACUCAGCUCAUACGUUCCUUGGCACAGUGCUUUCCCCCUUCUGGAUGCUCAAGAAAUAUGAUUUGAUGAUAAGCCUGCCUGUGAUUUCCAGAUGCCUUUGUUUCCCUCCUGUUGAUUCCUCAGUCUUGCCAGGGAAGUUCUACUUGAGUGAGAGAGGGGGCACAUGAGCAGGACGGAGGGACAGAGGGAGACAGACUCUUAUAGUGCAGAGCCGGAUGCAGGGCUCGAUCAUAUGACCCUGGGAUCAUGACCGGAGCUGAACUCAAGAGUUGGAUACUCAACCAACUGAGUCUGGAACCAAACCCACGAUAUCUCUGAGGUCUGUCUGUACACAGAUGUGAUUUGUGAUAAUAACACCGCAGAGGACGGGGAGGGAAAGGCACUGUAGGAGAACAAGAUCUUUGCGUACUAU